rnacentral:lncRNA from 1 species
AGCCUUUGUAAUGGGGCUCUGGGUGGGGCUGCGACUCCCAUCUGAAGACGUCGCGCGUGGGAGGCAGCUGUGAUGAAGUGCCCAUCUGAGCCCAGCAUGUGACGGGGACGCAGAGGCGGCCGAGUUCAUCCUGCCCAGCCUUGCCUGAUGUGACCAGGGGAGGAAAGGCCUGGGCUGCUGCUCCUGCAGCCCGUACCGCCCACCCCGCCCCUGGUGGAAGCGGCUCCUGUCGGUGGGGUGGGGGCUGAGCUCUCCUGGCGCUCCUGACCCUCCU